rnacentral:rRNA from 1 species
UACGGAGGAUCCAAGCGUUAUCCGGAUUUAUUGGGUUUAAAGGGUGCGUAGGCGGCCUAUUAAGUCAGGGGUGAAAAGACGGUAGCUUAACUAUCGCAGUGCCUUUGAUACUGAUAGGCUUGAAUACACUUGAGGUAGGCGGAAUGUGACAAGUAGCGGUGAAAUGCAUAGAUAUGUCACAGAACACCAAUUGCGAAGGCAGCUUACUAAAGUGUGAUUGACGCUGAGGCACGAAAGCGUGGGGAUCAAACAGG